CAGUCGAGCGAACAGACGAGGAGCUUGCUCCUCUGACGUUAGCGGCGGACGGGUGAGUAACACGUGGGUAACCUACCUAUAAGACUGGGAUAACUUCGGGAAACCGGAGCUAAUACCGGAUAAUAUUUUGAACCGCAUGGUUCAAUAGUGAAAGACGGUUUUGCUGUCACUUAUAGAUGGAUCCGCGCCGCAUUAGCUAGUUGGUAAGGUAACGGCUUACCAAGGCAACGAUGCGUAGCCGACCUGAGAGGGUGAUCGGCCACACUGGAACUGAGACACGGUCCAGACUCCUACGGGAGGCAGCAGUAGGGAAUCUUCCGCAAUGGGCGAAAGCCUGACGGAGCAACGCCGCGUGAGUGAUGAAGGUCUUCGGAUCGUAAAACUCUGUUAUUAGGGAAGAACAAAUGUGUAAGUAACUGUGCACGUCUUGACGGUACCUAAUCAGAAAGCCACGGCUAACUACGUGCCAGCAGCCGCGGUAAUACGUAGGUGGCAAGCGUUAUCCGGAAUUAUUGGGCGUAAAGCGCGCGUAGGCGGUUUUUUAAGUCUGAUGUGAAAGCCCACGGCUCAACCGUGGAGGGUCAUUGGAAACUGGAAAACUUGAGUGCAGAAGAGGAAAGUGGAAUUCCAUGUGUAGCGGUGAAAUGCGCAGAGAUAUGGAGGAACACCAGUGGCGAAGGCGACUUUCUGGUCUGUAACUGACGCUGAUGUGCGAAAGCGUGGGGAUCAACAGGAUUAGAUACCCUGGUAGUCCACGCCGUAACGAUGA
rnacentral:rRNA from 1 species